ensembl:lncRNA
AACUGAAAAAGUGCUAGGGGAAGGGAAGAAAUUACUUUUUCCGUGGGAAACUGCCCUUCACAGAGUCUUUUAGGGAGUGCAAAUCUGGCUUCAGGCUGAGUUGUUUUCUGAGGAGAGCAGGGAGACAUGGUGAGGGCACAAAGGGCAUGCAUACCACAAGAGCCUUUGGAUUUAGUGCUGGAAAAAGAAGUACUACAUCAAGUGGGAAAAAGGCUUCCAGGAGAACACUACCUGCAUUUUCUAAUUCCUGUUACAUCGUUCCACACAGUUUUCAUAACAUAUGUAUGUGAUUGGAGAUACUGCUGGAAGCAGACUGCUGAACUGAGAUGCCAUGGGCUGACUGGGAAUGGCAUUUCCGCCCCUUGGAAAUAAUUCAUAUUAACAUUCACAAAGAUGCUUCCAAAGUAAACGGAUUACUUAUUUAUUUAUCUACUAUUGCUAUCAUUUAGGUGCCAGGCAAAACCAUUUCUUUUCCCCCUGACUUUUAAGAAUGAGUUAAUGUUAGCAUAUUUUCCACAUUAUAUGAACUGCCUUGUGAGCAGACUGUGGCUAUUUAAAUCUGCAAUUUCAGUCUGGCUGCAUAGGCCUUCUUUUCUUAGAAUUUGAGAAUGGUAGAGUUAAAAGGUACCCAAAGGAUCAGGUAGAUCCACCCCAUACUAAUGAAGGACUUUGCAACUGGAGAGUCCAUGACAGGUGGCUUUGUUUAUAAAGCUCCAUGACAAAGCAUCCACCACCUCCAAGGGAAACUAGUCAUGGAUCUGCUGCCGCCUGGCUGCUGCCCUCUGGCUGGAUCUGACUUGUUCACACAAGACUG